rnacentral:rRNA from 1 species
AGAGUUUGAUCCUGGCUCAGGACGAACGCUGGCGGCGUGCUUAACACAUGCAAGUCGAGCGAUGAAGCUCCUUCGGGAGUGGAUUAGCGGCGGACGGGUGAGUAACACGUGGGUAACCUGCCUCAUAGAGGGGAAUAGCCUUUCGAAAGGAAGAUUAAUACCGCAUAAGAUUGUAGUACCGCAUGGUACAGCAAUUAAAGGAGUAAUCCGCUAUGAGAUGGACCCGCGUCGCAUUAGCUAGUUGGUGAGGUAACUGCUCACCAAGGCGACGAUGCGUAGCCGACCUGAGAGGGUGAUCGGCCACAUUGGGACUGAGACACGGCCCAGACUCCUACGGGAGGCAGCAGUGGGGAAUAUUGCACAAUGGGGGAAACCCUGAUGCAGCAACGCCGCGUGAGUGAUGACGGUCUUCGGAUUGUAAAGCUCUGUCUUUAGGGACGAUAAUGACGGUACCUAAGGAGGAGGCCACGGCUAACUACGUGCCAGCAGCCGCGGUAAUACGUAAGUGGCAAGCGUUGUCCGGAUU